rnacentral:misc_RNA from 1 species
UCCCGGUUCACCCGGGCAGUCUCGUUAGAGUUCCCGCCAUCACGCGUUGGCAACUAACGAUAAGGGUUGCGCUCGUUGCGGGACUUAACCCAACACCUCACGGCACGAGCUGACGACAGCCAUGCAGCACCUGUGCAGAGACCCUCGCGGGAGACGCCAUCUCUGGCGCUGUCCUCUGCAUGUCAAGCCUGGGUAAGGUUCUGCGCGUUGCAUCGAAUUAAACCACAUGCUCCACUGCUUGUGCGGGUCCCCGUCAAUUCUUUUGAGUUUCACCCUUGCGAGCGUACUCCCCAGGCGGCACACUUAACGCGUUAGCUACGGCACAACCAGGGUUGAGUCCGGUUACACCAAGUGUGCAUCGUUUACGGCAGGGACUAC